AUGCCGAUCAGCGAGUGGUUUCCACGCAGGCGUUGUUCAAGGACGUCAUUGAAGACUGCUGGCUGGCGCAGUGGAUCCUUGCCGCUGUUGGCAUG
rnacentral:tRNA from 1 species